AUGAUGGAAUUACUCACACACGGCGGUGAGCAUCAUGAAAUUGGUGAUGGAGCAAGGUUGAUGAUGACGAUGACGACGGAUUCCCCUCUCCGGAGCCCCGAACGGACUCCAGAUCAGCCCUUCCGAGAGAGUUUAGGGUUUGGGCGGCGGCUCCGUAUCGUAAAACGCGAUGAAUCCUUCUCUCUGAUUUUUUUUCUUCCCGAAACUGAAUAUAUGGAGUCAGGGUUGAGGUCGGUGGAGCGUCAGGGAGGCCACGAGGCAGGGGGCGCGCCUAGGGGGGUAGGGCGCGCCCCCACCCUCGUGAACAGGUGGUGGCCCCCUGACGUGGAUCUUUUUUCCAGUAUUUUUUAUAUAUUCCAAAAUAAUUCUCCAUUGAUUUUUAGGUCAUUCCGAGAACUUUUAUUUCUGCACAAAAAUAACACCAUGGCAAUUCUGCUGAAAACAGCGUCAGUCCGGAUUAGUUCCAUUCAAAUCAUGCAAGUUAGAGUCCAAAAUAAAGGCAAGAGUGUUUGGAAAAGUAGAUACGACGGAGACGUAUCAACUCCCCCAAGCUUAAACCUUUGUUUGUCCUCAAGCAAUUCAGUUGAUAAACUGAAAGUGAUAAAGAAAAAACUUUUACAAACUAUGUUUGCUCUUGUUGUUGUAAAUAUGUAA
rnacentral:rRNA from 1 species